rnacentral:tRNA from 1 species
UAAUUGAAACCAAAAAGAGGUAUAUCAUUGUUAAUGAUAUCAUUGAGAAAUCUCUCCAAUUAAG